rnacentral:lncRNA from 1 species
ACUCACUUCGUCUCAUCACACAGGCAUUUUAUCAACUCACAUCAUCACAAGAAGGGUAAGUAUAGUAUGAUAAAUUAUGUUGAGAGAGACCACAUUCACCUAACUUUUAUUACAGUAUAUUGUUGUAACUGUUCUAUUUUAUUAUUAGUUAUUGUUGUUAAUCUUUUACUGUGCCUGAUCUAUAACUUAAACUUUAUUAUAAGUAUGAAUGUGUGGAAAAAAAUAGGGUAUAUAGGGUUUGGUACUAUCCAUGGUUUCAGGCAUCCACUGGGGGACUUUGAACAUAUCCACUAUGGAUAAGGAUGGACAAGGAGAGAGUACUGUAUUUUAGGCUCUGUGGGCCACAAAAUUUCUGCCACAGCUAUUUAAGUGUGCAGUUGCAACACAAAAGCAACUGUAGAAAAUACAUAAAUAAAUAAGCUCGGCUAUGUUCUAAUAAAACUUUAUUUAUGGGCAUUGGAAUUUAAAUUUCAUAUUUGAAAUAUGGAAUAUGAAAUAUAAAAAGACAGAAUGGUUUGGAAAGUGUAAAUAAUUUAAGAUUUUUACUAUGUUAUUGCCAGCUUGUUUUCCAAAAAGUCAUACAAUUUAUAUUCCAUGAGAGCACUGAGGAGCCUUUUGUUUGUUUGUUUGAGACAGAGUCUCGCUCUGUCGCCCAGGCUGGAGGGCAGUGGUGCAAUCUCAACCUCCUUCUCCCGGGUUCAAGCGAUUCUCCUGCCUCAGCCUCCUGAGUAGCUGGGACUACAGGUGUGCGCCACCACGCCUGGCUAAUUUUUGUAUAUUUAGUAGAGAUGGGGUUUCACCAUAUUGCUCAGGCUGGUCUUGAACUCCUGACCUUGUGAUCUGCCCACCUCAGCCUCUCAAAGUGCUGGGAUUACCGGCGUGAGCCACUGCACCAGGCCGUUUUUUUAAAAAUGUCAUGAAAUUCAGCCAUUCUGUAGGUAGAUUUACAGUUUUAUUACAUAGGAUCUUAAUACAUAUUUUUAAAAGUCCUUCAAACCAUUUUUUAAAGUCAGGCAGAAUAAAAUAUCCUAGCUAUAAUUUUCCCAAACAACUGAAAAACUGACUAUUAUUUAUCAAAUAAAAAGAAAAUCAUACUUUUCUACCAUCAAAAUCAAUGAGCAGGCCAGGGCGUGGUGGCUAACACCUGUAAUCCCAGCACUUUGGGAGGCCAAGGUGGGCGGAUCAUCUGAGGUCGGGAGUUCGAGACCAGCCUGACCAACAUGGAGAAACUCCAUCUCUACUAAAAAUACAAAAUUGGCCAGGCAUGGUGGCACGUGGCUGUAAUGCCAGCUACUCAGGAAGCAGAGGCAGGAGAGUAGCUUGACCAUGGGAGGUGGAGGUUGCCGUGAGCCAAGAUUGCGCCAUUGCACUCCAGCCUGGGCAACAAGAGCGAAACUCUGAGAAAAAAAAAAAAAAAAUGAGCAUCAGUUUACUUGAAAGGUUAAGCCUAUGGAUUUGCAUGUACCAUGAGGCACAGGAGAGUCUUCUCUUGAGACCUUAAAGAGCCCAGGCAGGCCGGGCGCAGUGGCUCAUGCCUGUAAUCCCAGCACUUUGGGAGGCUGAGGCGGGCGGAUCACGAGGUCAGAAGUUCAAGACCAUCCUGGCCAACACGGCGAAACCCCGUCUCUACUAAAAAUACAAAAAUUAGCUGGGUGUAGUGGUUUGCGUCUGUAGCUAUGUGGGAGGCUGAGGCAGGAGAAUCCCUUGAACCCGGGAGGCAGAGGUUGCAGUGAGCCGAGAUUGCGCCACUGCACUCCAGCCUGGGGACAGAGUGAGACUCCGUCCCCUCACCGCCCCCACAAAAAGAGCCCAGGCGAGAACUGGUCCUCAAUGAUUUAGUCACUCAAUUUUCUGAUAUUAGGGCACAGGUUUAGAUUCAAGUAAUAUUUAUUAAAUAGCUACUUUAAUUGUGAGUCUCCAAGUGCAGCUCACAAACCAGUAAUAGUCUGAGAUCAGGUUUUCAUACUUCCAUGGAGAAAUGCAUAACAUAAAGCUCAAUGUAUUCAACUUAAAUGUAAAGAUCUACUUCUUUACUGUUAACCUGUCUUUUCUUUUUAUAAAGUAAUAGUGUUCUAUGGAUUUUCUCAUAAUAUUUGACAAAAUAAGCAACAUCGUAUCCCUGUGUCCUACCUAAAUCAAUUUUGUUGUACUUGAAUAUAUAUUGAAUAUCUAAAUCAAUUACAUGUGUACUUUGAAUACAUAUUUGAAUGUGUAUAUUACCUAAAUCAAUUAUAUGUAUGUUGAAUAUAAUUAAAAUUAUGUGUUUAAUGUA